rnacentral:lncRNA from 1 species
AGAACACCACACCUGUGUAUGUUUAACAGAUGUAAGCCAUGUAUAUAUUGAAACAAUGCUUAUAAUAGACUCAGAGUGGCCAUCAGCCCUCUCUGCAUCUAUCCUGAUGUGUACAUUGGAUUGCGACACCAACAGGUAUGAAAGGUUUGAGCAAAAUAAUUGAAGCCAGUUGCCAUGCAAGAAGUGAUACUACCCUGGGACCACAAUGUUGUAAGAAGCCCAAGCUCCUGGGGAGACUUUGGAGAAUGAGAUGCUAUAUGAACAGAAAUAGAGAUGCUAAGGAAUACCAAGCUGCCACAAAUAAAUGAAGAAGUAAUCUUGGAAGGGGUUUUCCAGUUCCAGUUUGGCAACUUGGACGGGAUAAAAUUUCACUGGCUGGACACUGCUUGCUCCUGGACUGCUGCAGCUGAGAGAUCCUGGACCCCUGACAAGAGCCGGCAAGAGGCUGGAUUGGUAUCCCUCCCUAUGGAUCCUGACCACUCUGAAUUGUGGGAAAGUCCCAAUUAGGACUCCGGUUCAAGGAGGGAUUGGCCCCUGGUUUAACAAAUUCUCCUGGUCUUAGGUUCUUCUAGCUCAAAAUUCCAGAGGCCCUGCCUCAAGAGUAGCACUGGUUAUGAAGCUGUGCUACAGUAGCCUGGUGCAGUUACCUAAAACCACAGGAGAAAACCCAUCUUUCUUGUUGAGGAACUGGAAAUAGGGGACCCUGGGGUUCAAAGACUGUCUGUAUAAUUUUCUCUUACUUUUUUACAUCUUUUUCUCUCACUGCUUUCCUCUGAGGAUGGCCUCUGUUGUACAUAACUUCAUGGCACCAUGACUGGCUAAAACUUUGAAAGCCCAUCUUUCACAAUAGAGAACAAGAAAAAGAGUCCCCUAGGGGUCCUCAGGACAGUGUGAGAGAAAUCACAGAAAAGAGAGAUCCAGUUAGGUAAACUCCUAAAUCUGUGUAUGAAUUAACAAAAGUCCCAGGUGCAGUCCUGUGCUGUGCAUGUGAUAGAGAGACUCAAAGCAGCAUAGCAAAGACUAUCACUACUGAUAUGAACCACCACCCAAGUCCCAAACUAACUGCUGAGUGGCACAUGAAUGUGAC